UACGGAGGGAGCUAGCGUUGUUCGGAAUUACUGGGCGUAAAGCGCACGUAGGCGGCUACUCAAGUCGGGGGUGAAAGCCCGGGGCUCAACCCCGGAACUGCCCUCGAAACUAGGUAGCUAGAAUCUUGGAGAGGUCAGUGGAAUUCCGAGUGUAGAGGUGAAAUUCGUAGAUAUUCGGAAGAACACCAGUGGCGAAGGCGACUGACUGGACAAGCAUUGACGCUGAGGUGCGAAGGCGUGGGGAGCGAACGGG
rnacentral:rRNA from 1 species